AGUGAUAACGUAAGGGAUAAUAAUGAUGUUACCUUACUAUAAAGUGUUGUCAAAAUUUAGUGCCAGAAGACUCGGUAAGACCAAAAACGCAAACGUUAGUCAUCUUAAACAGGCGUAAAGGGUUAGUAGGCAGCUUUGAAAUGGCCAUUAUUAACAAAUAGCAAUAUUAAUAAUGGUUAAAUUAAAAGAUUGAAUCAAAUAUAGGAUAAUACAUACAAAACUUAGAGGAGGGGCGACAUCCUAAGAAUCUAUUUAGAGUACUAAAGGCGAAGGCUUUUAUCCAUUGCUGAUUGACGCUGAGGAACGAAGGAUGGGAGAGGAAACAGGAUUCGGUACCCUGGUACCCCCAUCAGUAAACGAUGAAUGGUAGUCACUAAGUAUUAUGGUGUCAAUGUUAACACGCAACCAUUCCGCCUUGUGAGUAUUACUGCAAAGUUGAAAACAAAAAAAUU
rnacentral:rRNA from 1 species